GGCAGAGUGCCAGAGUGGUUAAUGGGUUAGACUUGAAUCACCGAUUUAAGUUAUCUAAUGGCUUCGGCCUCGCGAGUUCAAAUCUCGUCUCUGUCG